rnacentral:rRNA from 1 species
UACGUAGGUGGCAAGCGUUGUCCGGAUUUAUUGGGUUUAAAGGGUGCGUAGGCGGUUUUUUAAGUCAGUGGUGAAAUACUUCAGCUUAACUGGAGAGGUGCCAUUGAUACUGGGAAACUUGAGUACUGAUGAGGUAGGCGGAAUGGACGGUGUAGCGGUGAAAUGCUUAGAUAUCGUCCAGAACACCGAUAGCGAAGGCAGCUUACUAAGGAGUAACUGACGCUGAGGCACGAAAGUGUGGGGAUCGAACGGG